GCGACGUUAGUUUAGAGGUAAAAUCGCUGCUUCCCAAGCAGCUGUCCCGGGUUCGAUUCCCGGACGUCGCA
rnacentral:tRNA from 2 species